rnacentral:rRNA from 1 species
UGGGGAAUAUUGGACAAUGGGCGCAAGCCUGAUCCAGCCAUGCCGCGUGAGUGAUGAAGGCCCUAGGGUUGUAAAGCUCUUUCACCGGUGAAGAUAAUGACGGUAACCGGAGAAGAAGCCCCGGCUAACUUCGUGCCAGCAGCCGCGGUAAUACGAAGGGGGCUAGCGUCGUUCGGAUUUACUGGGCGUAAAGCGCACGUAGGCGGACUUUUAAGUCAGGGGUGAAAUCCCGGGGCUCAACCCCGGAACUGCCUUUGAUACUGGAAGUCUUGAGUAUGGUAGAGGUGAGUGGAAUUCCGAGUGUAGAGGUGAAAUUCGUAGAUAUUCGGAGGAACACCAGUGGCGAAGGCGGCUCACUGGACCAUUACUGACGCUGAGGUGCGAAAGCGUGGGGAGCAAACAGG